rnacentral:rRNA from 1 species
GAAUAUUGGGCAAUGGAAGAGAUUCUGACCCAGCCAUGCCGCGUGCAGGAAGAAGGCCUUCUGGGUUGUAAACUGCUUUUAUCUGGGAAGGAAACGCUCCUGCGGGGGUAACUGACGGUACCAGAUGAAUAAGCACCGGCUAACUCCGUGCCAGCAGCCGCGGUCAUACGGAGGGGGCAAGCGUUGUCCGGAUUUAUUGGGUUUAAAGGGUGCGUAGGCGGCCCGUUAAGUCAGUGGUGAAAUCCCAGGGCUCAACCCUGGAACUGCCAUUGAUACUGACGGGCUUGAGUUCGGUUAAGGCGGGCGGAACUGGUGGUGUAGCGGUGAAAUGCAUAGAUACCACCAAGAACCCCGAUUGCGUAGGCAGCUCGCUGAGCCGAAACUGACGCUGAGGCACGAAAGCGUGGGGAGCGAACAGG